CCUCUUUUUGGUGUGUACUGUGCAUGCAUACACACACCUUACAUUUGGUGCGAGGUGCGCACUGAACAUAAGUGCGCGCAGCGCGCAUGCACAGCCAGAAAACCCGUAGUAAACCGGUUCAGAUUUCACCACUGGCCCAAAGGCAGCAGAGGCGGAGAACCAAGGUGGCUAAAAUGUCUGGAGAAAGCGGGCACGGAUAAAGCCUUGAAAAUCCAGAAGACUUCGUGAACAUCAGACCUUGUCCUGCUUUCUCGUUCACCUCCAGAAAGUUGGGAGAAUUUUGUACCUCUUGCCUGAAGUUGCAUCCUUCUGCUCUUCUCCGCUAUUUGACGUCGUUAACCAUUAAGUAAAUUUCACCUGGGCUGACUGCGGGAAACUGAUCACCCUUCAAGCAAAAACACCCAAGCGUGUUUAGAUAUAGGUUGUUGUUUGAACACCAUGUGGAGACCUUCUGGACUUCCUCCUUGUAUGCUGAUUCGUCCCCUCCAGUUAUAAGACCCAGCACGGUUGUGUCAUCUGCAAACUUUAUUAUGGUGUUGGAUGGAUCAGAGGAUAUGCAGUCAUGUGUAUACAGCAAGUACAGGUAGGCGCCAAGAUGGCAGCAGCAAAGGGGUGCUAGGUGACACAUAUUUUUUUAAAAAUGGUAGAGCUUCCAUCACACUGUGAUGGUUCCCCUCUUGACUUUUCUGAUAUGCCUUAAGGACACCCCCUAUUCCCAUAAAUCACCUCAACUUCUUUUGAGAGUCCAAAGAGUUUCUGAACUUGCACUUGUGUAGUGGUGU